GACGAACGCUGGCGGCGUGCCUAAUACAUGCAGGUCGAGCGGACCGGAUUGGGGCUUGCCUUGAUUCGGUCAGCGGCGGACGGGUGAGUAACACGUGGGCAACCUGCCCGCAAGACCGGGAUAACUCCGGGAAACCGGAGCUAAUACCGGAUAACACCGAAGACCGCAUGGUCUUCGGUUGAAAGGCGGCCUUUGGGCUGUCACUUGCGGAUGGGCCCGCGGCGCAUUAGCUAGUUGGUGAGGUAACGGCUCACCAAGGCGACGAUGCGUAGCCGGCCUGAGAGGGUGACCGGCCACACUGGGACUGAGACACGGCCCAGACUCCUACGGGAGGCAGCAGUAGGGAAUCUUCCGCAAUGGGCGAAAGCCUGACGGAGCGACGCCGCGUGAGCGAAGAAGGCCUUCGGGUCGUAAAGCUCUGUUGUGAGGGACGAAGGAGCGUCGUUCGAAGAGGGCGGCGCGGUGACGGUACCUCACGAGAAAGCCCCGGCUAACUACGUG
rnacentral:rRNA from 1 species